rnacentral:tRNA from 1 species
GCCUCCGUAGUUUAAAGGAUAGAAUUUCAGAUUCCGGUUCUGACGGUCCCGGUUCGAUUCCGAGCGGGGGUACGA